rnacentral:rRNA from 1 species
GAUGAACGCUAGCUACAGGCUUAACACAUGCAAGUCGAGGGGCAGCAUGUCGGUUGCUUGCAACCGAUGAUGGCGACCGGCGCACGGGUGAGUAACGCGUAUCCAACCUGCCCACCACUUGGGGAUAACCUUGCGAAAGUAAGACUAAUACCCGAUGAUAUCCCUAGAAGACAUCUGAAAGGGAUUAAAGAUUUAUCGGUGAUGGAUGGGGAUGCGUCUGAUUAGCUUGUUGGCGGGGUAACGGCCCACCAAGGCAACGAUCAGUAGGGGUUCUGAGAGGAAGGUCCCCCACAUUGGAACUGAGACACGGUCCAAACUCCUACGGGAGGCAGCAGUGAGGAAUAUUGGUCAAUGGGCGAGAGCCUGAACCAGCCAAGUAGCGUGCAGGAAGACGGCCCUAUGGGUUGUAAACUGCUUUUAUAUGGGGAUAAAGUGAGGGACGUGUCCCUGUUUGCAUGUACCACAGGAAUAAGGACCGGCUAAUUCCGUGCCAGCAGCCG